rnacentral:lncRNA from 1 species
GAGGCAUCAUUUUUAUUUUUACCACAGAUAUGAAGUCUAGUCACCAAACAAUGAAUAAUACAACAUGUAAUGUCAUAGUCUGCCAGCUCUAGCAACUCCUAAACAACAUCUUAACUUAAAGAGAUGUUCAGGAACAAUAAGGACCACAAAAAAAUAGAGCUGAAGAGAAUAUAGUAAGUACCAAAAGGAAAACACAUCCAGAUCUCUGCUAAUCCCAAAGUUCAGCAGAAUUUGACCUUGCCAAUAUUUAGAAGAGCCAUAGCUCCUGUUUAAACUCCUCUGCUCUGUAAUAAUUCCUCAAAAAAACCAGCCCCAGAAAAGUAAAUAAGAAGCCAUGUGCUGCCAGUUAAGCAAGUUGUAAGCUGGGACGCUGAUCAGCUUCUCCUCCGCUUUCUCAAGACAGGCCACAUGAAGUCUUCAUUCAUCGACAAGCAGUCCACUAAAGGAAUUCAGGAGGUGGGCAAUAUGAACUCCGUACUAAUCGUGGGAAGCCGAGGUCUGAGGGAAAGGAAUCCAACCCAAGCAAGUCUGGAGCAAAGAAGAAAAACCAAACCUUUCAAGAGUUUCCUGUUAACAGUAUUACUUCACAGAGCAAAAUUUAUUUGGAAUUCACAGUGCUUUGGCACUUCUGGAGGAAAUGCCCAAGAAGAGGACUAUUUGUCAGUCAACCAGCAGUGCGAGUUUAGAGAGAAAGUGAUUCCUUUUUCACUUCCUGCUUUAGUGUCAGCCUCUUACUGGGUUAGAAAACCAUUUCACCCACCAGGAUGAAAAUCAAAGGUCCUUUCUGAAGAAGAAUGGGAAAGGAAAUCUGCAAGGGAGGUAAGGUGCUAAUUUCCAAUAUCUGCAGUGACUGAACUAAAAUAGAAGAAAAUGAGUUGGCCCAGUGAGCUGGACCUUGGGAACCCGGGAGUCAGAAUUCCAAGAGCUUUCUGGCUGCAACAGCCUUUGAAGCUCUACAGAUGUCCAAUCAGAAUGGAACAAUCUCUCCUCCACGGGGUGAUCUGAGAUGACUACUGCCUCAAUAGAAACCAAGGUAAUUUACCACAGAAUGCUUGGAAUUAUCUCCUGAUGCUUUCUCCUGGAAAUAAUUAUCUGGGAAAUGGGAGAACAAAUUAUUUGGAAAAUAAUUUUUCUUCUCUUGAUCCCAUAUUGAGUUAACAUGAUUCUAAUAGCUCUGUUAAACUUCAAGAUAGGAAUGACCUCAAGAAAUAAAUUGUUUCAAUAUUGAACA